rnacentral:rRNA from 1 species
CAGGCCUAACACAUGCAAGUCGAACGCAUCCUUCGGGGUGAGUGGCAGACGGGUGAGUAACACGUGGGAACGUGCCCUUCGGUUCGGAAUAACUCAGGGAAACUUGAGCUAAUACCGGAUACGCCCUUAUGGGGAAAGGUUGACCGCCGAAGGAUCGGCCCGCGUCUGAUUAGCUUGUUGGUGGGGUAACGGCCUACCAAGGCGACGAUCAGUAGCUGGUCUGAGAGGAUGAUCAGCCACACUGGGACUGAGACACGGCCCAGACUCCUACGGGAGGCAGCAGUGGGGAAUAUUGGACAAUGGGCGCAAGCCUGAUCCAGCCAUGCCGCGUGAGUGAUGAAGGCCUUAGGGUUGUAAAGCUCUUUUGUCCGGGACGAUAAUGACGGUACCGGAAGAAUAAGCCCCGGCUAACUUCGUGCCAGCAGCCGCGGUAAU